AUUGAACGCUGGCGGAAUGCUUUACACAUGCAAGUCGAACGGCAGCACGGGAGCUUGCUCCUGGUGGCGAGUGGCGAACGGGUGAGUAAUGCGUCGGAACGUGCCGAGUAAUGGGGGAUAACGCAGCGAAAGUUGUGCUAAUACCGCAUACGCCCUGAGGGGGAAAGUGGGGGAUCGCAAGACCUCACGUUAUUCGAGCGGCCGACGUCUGAUUAGCUAGUUGGUGGGGUAAAGGCCUACCAAGGCGACGAUCAGUAGCGGGUCUGAGAGGAUGAUCCGCCACACUGGGACUGAGACACGGCCCAGACUCCUACGGGAGGCAGCAGUGGGGAAUUUUGGACAAUGGGGGCAACCCUGAUCCAGCCAUUCCGCGUGAGUGAAGAAGGCCUCGGUUGUAAGUAC
rnacentral:rRNA from 1 species